GUUGGUCCUUUAACCAUGAGGUUGCAACUGAUGACUCUUAUAGUUCUGAUUACCGUUGAUGGACGACAUAGAAGCAGAAAUAAAUGUCUUGAAGUGUGUCUAAAUCGAAGGGAUUUCGUACAGCCCUUCUGCGCAUUAGAUCAUAAACGAAAGUGCUGGUUUACGAUACCAUCAAAUUGUACAUACGAUCUUGUUAAAUGUUUAAGAAUGAAGGCGAACUUACUCCCUUAUAAAGCCCCGGACAUUGUGGACGGUGAGUGUGAUAAGGUUAAGAAAGAACCAUGGUGCGAAACCAUUGCGAUAAAAGAAAAUGAGGAAUCAGAAUCGAAAGAAAAAUCAUAUGAAAAA